CUUUGGAAGCACACACAUCUGGCUAACGCAGUUCAUAGCAGGUAGCUCAUUCCAAAAAAAACGGCAAUAACUUGGACACGGAGCCCAUGGUAAACGACAAAUUCAUACUUGCAGCCCUUCCGAAGAGGCAAAAGCUCUUACGUUGGCAACAUGGUGAACGGAUUAUGGUUCAUAAAGAAUUAAACAUCAUGAAACCAUCAGUAAAAGUCUCAUCUCUGUUCGGGGGGCAUGCUACACACUCAGCAAUGUCAACAGAUGAGCGCAUCAGCACAGUUUCCCAGGGACCUGCGGCCCCGACCCCCAUGUGGACCCAACCUCCUGAUGUAGAUCUGACAGGGGCAGAAUUAACCAAAUGAAUGUGCAGUGUAACCAAGCAUGACAAAGCAGACCUCGGACGUUCUGGGCUUCGUUCCACUUGACUCGGACCGUGCUGUUCAUCACGGUCGUUGUGACUCCAGUCGGCGCUUCCGCCGGCUCUGAGAGCGACAA